rnacentral:rRNA from 1 species
UACGGAGGGUGCGAGCGUUGUCCGGAAUCACUGGGCGUAAAGGGCGCGUAGGCGGUGGCUUAAGCGUGCGGUGAAAGCUCGGGGCUCAACUCCGAGUCGGCCGUGCGAACUGGGCUCACUGGAGCAUAGUAGAGGCAGGUGGAAUUCCGGGUGUAGCGGUGGAAUGCGUAGAGAUCCGGAAGAACACCGGUGGCGAAGGCGGCCUGCUGGGCUAUGGCUGACACUGAGGCGCGACAGCGUGGGGAGCAAACAGG